AUUGACAAGGAUAAGAAGAUCCUGGGCCCAGAGCCCUCAGGAAGAGGGGAAUAUCUCUGGCACCACAGGGGAUGGAUCAGUUUUACUGUUUUUCUCAUGCCAGGAAUGGUUGUCAGAAGUGAAAGACCAUUUUUUGCUGAUGCCUGACCUUUUCUUCUGCUUGCUUUUCUCUCUGGACCUGCAUCACCUGGAGCUGGAAGAUUUCUAGAGUUCAGUUCUUUGGCAGAAAACCAAAUGAGGUGGGCCUGGGAUGGUUGUGUAGGUCCUGUGGGCUGAAAAACUUCCAGGCAGCCCUAAAACAAAUCCUGCUGGGCCUCCUGAAGAUGAAGGUGAAGAGUUUGCAUCCUUGAGUCUGGAAUUCUGGUCCUCCAGCUCAGUGGGCAGAGUGGUUCUUCUACACCAUAGAAAAGCCUGGUACAGCUGCUCCUGCUCAAGAUCUUGGGAAUGGGAAUCUGCAAAUGCUGCUGUGUCCAGGGGAUCUCUGCUCUGUUCCUUCCUUCUAAAGUAGCCACAUGCAGGAGAUAGAGCCCUGGAAGGCUGCUCAAAAAAUGGAGUGGCUCCUUCAGUGGAGGUGCCUGGGACACUUUUUCAUGGAAGACUUCAAGAAAACCAGGAUUUUCUCUUCUGCAAAUGAACCCAGCCAGAGCAGCAGUAAGAGAAUCCAACCCCAGAGUGGAAAAGUUGCUCUUUUCCCCUCAGACUUUGACAGAUGGUGCAGAUUAGUCUUUUUAUUACAGAGUUAUUACAAGGCCUGUCAGCUGCCCUGGGGUCUCAACAUCUGGGUGUGAAUAUCAGGCACAUCUACUGAGUAAGUCUGGACAUCCCCUGAACUGGUUUCUUCUGAGCUAAACCCACAAAUUUCAGAAGUCCCUCUCCAGAUAUUCCACCUCAGAUUGCACUUCUCAGCAGUGGGAAAAAGUCAGUGUCUGCAAUUUCUGCUUUUAUGGCCUUGUGUCCAUCAGAAGUCUGCAGUCACCAUCCUGCUGCAUUGCAGAUUCCUUGGAGAUAUCCCUGAUGCUUUUCCAGCCUUGCUGCCUCUGGAGAAGACCCAACUGGUCCUACACAAUCCAUGCUGUAUCUUUUAAAUCUGUUUUUUUUCUUUUUUUCCAGCUGGUGCUCUGGCAGUCAGAGCCUUCCUGGCACAGGGAUUUGGGGACAUAAAUUCCAGAUGAGCACCUUUGAUUCCCUCAGACCAUGAUAAUGGAGAGAUGAUUGACACCUACAGCUUUGGGAAGAGACAUGCUCAGCAGAGAUCCCAGGGGAUGUGCCUUUCACCAGGAAGCAGGAGAAGCAGAGCAGAUCCAUGUGGAGCCCCAGGUCUGCUCCCACAGGAGGUGAGGACACGGAGCAGUGAAACUGGAUGUUGUGUUCUCACCAUGAAGGAGAGGCUAAAAAUAGCUUUGUGGGAAAUCCUGUGCUGCUGAAGCAUCUUUUGAUGUCUCUUUAUCUCAGAAUUCUUUCUGCUGAGAUCUCUGGAGAUGUUGGAGCAGUGACCUCAGGGGCAGGAACUCAAGCAGCCCACUGGAGAAGCAUUUCCAGAGCUUCAGUGAAUGCAGGAAUGUCCAUCCCUGUUCAUUGUGGAGGCACAGGAGGUGGGAUAUCCCAACAUCCUGGGCUCCAGCUCUGCAUGGUUACCACACCUCACCCUUGGAUCUGAGCCCUCCAGCUUUUUUCCCAAGUGACAGGGAUCUAGUGCAGUGUUUUGACAGCUGAAACAGCCUGGAAAUAACGAGCUGGAAGCAAUGUUUUCUCUCCUGCCCCCUUCCCAUUUGGAGAAGAAGAUGUAUCAUGGAGCAGGGUUUUCUGCUCUGCAGCUGUAAUUCUGCUGUCUUUAUUUCUGUUCUACAAGGCCUGCAGCAGGAUUUUCCAUUUGAAUGGCUGCAGUUUUAAACUCAUUUAUCAUUUUUAUGGGAGUUCAGAGAUAUCUCGUGGAAAUCAUUGCCAGGGAGAGCAGGAAAUUUCAGUUUACAUCCAUUCACACGUGGGUUUGCCUCGAGUCAACACCAAGAGUUGACAAGAACUGGAAUGUAAAACUGUGUUGGCCAUGGAUAGCAUAGUAAAUGACUGGAGAAUUAGAAUAAUAGUAGGAAAAAAAUACAGAAUCUGGGACUUGUUGUGGUUCUUCCUCAUGAUAGCACAUUUGUCUGUCUUUUCAACAUGUAGAAUAUUUUGGGUUAGGAGGGACCUAAAAGCUCAUCAGUGGACAGCAAGUGAUGCUUGGCUUGUUCCAAAAUAAUCCCCAUGGAGGGAAUCCUGCUGAGUUUCUCUUCUCCUCUUCCAACAAAAAGGAAGAGGCUGGAUGUGGGAAAUGGCCACCACAAAGGUCAGCCAUCAACCUGUCCCAUCCAAAAAGUCACUGAAAACCCCAGCCCAGUGCAAGCUGCAGUCCUGGAAUAUCCUAAAGUGGAGUUCUGAAUUAUCUCUGUGGGAUCACAGUUAAAAUAUUCAGGAUAACCAAGAAAAAGCGGCAUGCCUGCCCUUUUUCCUCCUCUUCCUUUCAGUGUGACAUUUCAAAGGUGUUUUGUUCCUGAAACACCUGUUCCCAAAGGGAAUAUGUGUGUGUUUUGGUGUUCUCCCAGGCUGUUUUGGUUAAUUGCAGAGAUUGACUAGCCCAGGAUUUCUGUCUGGUUCAGAAAUCCUGGGCUAGUGAUUAGCCCGUGUGUAAUGGUGCAGAAUGUUCUUUACCUACGCUGUGCACUUCUGAGUGUCACUCUCAAAGAAAAUACAAAUAUACUUC